GAUGAACGCUGGCGGCGUGCCUAACACAUGCAAGUCGAACGGAGAUCUUUUUGAAAGCGGCUUCGGCCAAUGGAAAUCUGAUCUUAGUGGCGGACGGGUGAGUAACGCGUGGGGAACCUGCCCUGUACUGGGGGAUAACACCCAGAAAUGAGUGCUAAUACCGCAUAAGCGCACAGUACCGCAUGGUACGGUGUGAAAAACUCCGGUGGUACAGGAUGGACCCGCGUUGGAUUAGCUUGUUGGCGGGGUAACGGCCCACCAAGGCGACGAUCCAUAGCCGGCCUGAGAGGGUGAACGGCCACAUUGGGACUGAGACACGGCCCAGACUCC
rnacentral:rRNA from 1 species